GAGGAAAGUCCGGGCUCUAAUUAGUAAAAAUAUAGCUGUACAACAUACAGUAUAGGUAACUAUCAGGAAAGUGCCACAGAAAAAAACCGCCUAGUUCAUACUAUAUAAAAAGCAUAGGUAAGGGUGCAAAGGUGCAGUAAAAGCGUACCAGAAGUAUUAUGAAAAUACUUGCUAGGCAAACCCCGUAUAAGAGCAAAGUAAUAAACUGUACAUUCAAAAUAUCUAUCAUAAAAAGAUUACACUUUACUGUUUAUAUUCAUUACUGCAAAAAUAUUAUAUGUAAAUAUAAAGAGAAGAUUAAUAACUACCCUUAAUAAAUUUAAUUUUUAUAUAUUUCAUAUAAAUCUCAAAAUCAUUAAGAACAAAAUCCGGCUUAU
rnacentral:RNase_P_RNA from 1 species